rnacentral:lncRNA from 1 species
GGAGCUAACAGAAUAGCAUGUAUACUAGGUCUUGACUAGACUUAUUUUCACCUAAAUCUCAUCUAUAUUUUUCUUCUUUCUUUUCAGGUCUGGUUGUGGCAAUCAGAGUCAUGGUGAGAGUAAAGGAGAUGUGUCCUGAGAACCAAACCUGCCUAUGGCACAGCCCAGCAUAAAGCCCCUGGUCUGUGCAAAUGUAGGGUCCAGAACCAUGAACUCCAACGGAAAAUGCUUCACUAAGCCACCCUAAUAACAUCAGAAGCUAUGGAGAGAGAAAAUUACACGGUCGAAGGUGCCCAAUAUAAUAUUACUCAGCAACAGAGUGGUUUUUCAACAGGAAGUUUUCAGCUCUGUAAUUAGAAAUCCACAAUGGAAGCUCUGACAUUUAAUUACAACACUGCUAAGACAAUAAUAAUAAGAGGAAUACCAAAGUUGAAUGCGUAUUUCUU